rnacentral:rRNA from 1 species
CAGCCGCCGCGGUAAAACGGAGGGGGCUAGCGUUGUUCGGAAUUACUGGGCGUAAAGCGCACGUAGGCGGCUUUGUAAGUCAGAGGUGAAAGCCCGGGGCUCAACCCCGGAAUUGCCUUUGAGACUGCAUCGCUUGAAUCCAGGAGAGGUGAGUGGAAUUCCGAGUGUAGAGGUGAAAUUCGUAGAUAUUCGGAAGAACACCAGUGGCGAAGGCGGCUCACUGGACUGGUAUUGACGCUGAGGUGCGAAAGCGUGGGGAGCAAACAGGAUUAGAUACCCCAGUAGUCCCUGUCUCUUAUAC